AGCUCCAGCGGCUGGUUGCUCUGCCGCUGUUGUUCGAGGAUGUAUCGGAGGGUCGAACCAUGGGAGUGAAGCUGCUGACAGUGAUCAGGAACGGUUUUCUGAAGUGCCUCAGUGGUGUCCGGCUGGCCUGAGUGUUCUGUCAUAUUUUUAAAGGCCGAUUUGAACCACAUACAGAAACACUCAAAAAUAGAGGACCGUUUUGGUGAGGUUUAUUUAAAGGAGGAGGAAGACCCGAGCGGCUCGCACCGGAAACAGGCUCUGCAAGAGACGAGACAGAUCUGUUAAUCUUGACUGUAACAUCUCCUCCAGAGUUACCAAUGCCAACAACGACCACCCUUUUCCCCUUGAAGCAAUCUGCAUCAUUAUAUUCCCAGCUAUGAAGAACUCUGCCACAGAAUGUUUCAGGUCCUGGAGAAAAACAGAUGUUGCAGCAGCUCAAAGGUCACUACAUCCCACUGAUCAGACAAUGAAAAGUCUGGCCUUUGUGUAAUACUCCUCACAAUGGUCUAAAGUGUGCACAGAAAUGAACACUUGAGGACAUUAACAGAGAGUCUGGAUCUUCUGCAUACGCAGACUGG